GACGAACGCUGGCGGCGUGCCUAAUACAUGCAAGUCGAACGGUCUUUUCUAUGGAAGCUUGCUUCCACUGAGAAGAUAGUGGCGAACGGGUGAGUAACACGUGGGUAACCUGCCCGUAAGAGGGGGAUAACAUCCGGAAACGGGUGCUAAUACCGCAUAGUUUUCUUGAUCGCAUGAUCGGGAAAGGAAAGACGGCCUUUGUGCUGUCGCUUAUGGAUGGACCCGCGGCGUAUUAGUUAGUUGGUGAGGUAAUGGCUCACCAAGACGAUGAUACGUAGCCGACCUGAGAGGGUGAUCGGCCACAUUGGGACUGAGACACGGCCCAAACUCCUACGGGAGGCAGCAGUAGGGAAUCUUCCGCAAUGGACGAAAGUCUGACGGAGCAACGCCGCGUGAGUGAAGAAGGUUUUCGGAUCGUAAAACUCUGUUGUCAGAGAAGAACAAGUUGGAGAGUAACUGCUCCAGCCUUGACGGUAUCUGACCAGAAAGCCAACGGCUAACUACGUGCC
rnacentral:rRNA from 1 species